rnacentral:rRNA from 1 species
UACGUAGGGGGCUAGCGUUGUCCGGAAUCAUUGGGCGUAAAGAGCGUGUAGGCGGCUCGGUAAGUCCGCUGUGAAAGUCCAGGGCUCAACCCUGGAAUGCCAGUGGAAACUGUCGAGCUAGAGUCCGGAAGAGGCGAGUGGAAUUCCUGGUGUAGCGGUGAAAUGCGCAGAUAUCAGGGGGAACACCAAUGGCGAAGGCAGCUCGCUGGGACGGUACUGACGCUGAGACGCGAAAGCGUGGGGAGCGAACAGG